rnacentral:rRNA from 1 species
AUACGGAGGGUCCAAGCGUUAUUCGGAAUCAUUGGGUUUAAAGGGUCCGCAGGCGGUCAAUUAAGUCAGAGGUGAAAGCCCAUCGCUCAACGAUGGAACUGCCUUUGAUACUGGUUGACUUGAGUUAUACGGAAGUAGAUAGAAUAAGUAGUGUAGCGGUGAAAUGCAUAGAUAUUACUUAGAAUACCGAUUGCGAAGGCAGUCUACUACGUAUAUACUGACGCUGAGGGACGAAAGCGUGGGGAGCGAACAGGAUUAGAAACCCCAGUAGUCC